AUGAUGAUUGAGCUACAUGUGAAGAACAGAAACAUCAUUAUGAUAAAUGUUAUGAACUACAUCAUCAAUGAUAAAAGACAUCAAAGGUCACCUCAGACGUCUCAGCUCAUCACAUCUGGUCCCACAGUGAAGCCCUCAGUGUCUCUGCUGCCGCCCUCUUCUCUGCAGAUCUCUGGAGACUCAGCCGCACUGCUCUGCCUGCUCAGCUCUUACUCUCCACCGGGGGCACAGGUGAGCUGGACACUGGACGGCUCAGAGGUCACCGAGGGGGUUCAGACCAGCGCAGAGAGCGAGCGGGACGGCCGCUACAGCCGCAGUAGCAUCCUGACCCUCAGCAAAGCACGCUGGGAAAAAGGAGAGCUGUACGUCUGCAGAGUAACACAUGAUGGAGCUCCUCAAGAGGUCUCGUUCCAGAAGAGUCACUCGCAGUGCUGAUGUUUCUCCAGUGAGCGCUGCUCUCUCCUGAAGAUGAGGCGUAUCUGAGUGUCCUGUGUCAGGCAGGAUUCACAUGAGUCUAGUGCUGCAGCUGUAGUCAUUUACAACUCAAUACUGAAAGAGAGCUCUAGUGUCAAAGCACUGGCUGAUCUUUCAAUCUGCUGUGUUUGCUGUAACAUUCAAUAAAGCUUCUCAACAAGCUCCA